UACGUAGGUCCCGAGCGUUGUCCGGAUUUAUUGAGCGUAAAGCGAGCGCAGGUGGUUUAUUAAGUCUGGUGUAAAAGGCAGUGGCUCAACCAUUGUAUGCAUUGGAAACUGGUAGACUUGAGUGCAGGAGAGGAGAGUGGAAUUCCAUGUGUAGCGGUGAAAUGCGUAGAUACAUGGAGGAACACCGGUGGCGAAAGCGGCUCUCUGGCCUGUAACUGACGCUGAGGUUCGAAAGCGUGGGUAGCAAACAGG
rnacentral:rRNA from 1 species